rnacentral:rRNA from 1 species
GAUGAACGCUGGCGGCGUGCUUAACACAUGCAAGUCGAACGGAAAGGCCCAAGCUUGCUUGGGUACUCGAGUGGCGAACGGGUGAGUAACACGUGGGUGAUCUGCCCUGCACUUCGGGAUAAGCCUGGGAAACUGGGUCUAAUACCGGAUAGGACGAUGGUUUGGAUGCCAUUGUGGAAAGUUUUUUCGGUGUGGGAUGAGCUCGCGGCCUAUCAGCUUGUUGGUGGGGUAAUGGCCUACCAAGGCGUCUACGGGUAGCCGGCCUGAGAGGGUGUACGGCCACAUUGGGACUGAGAUACGGCGCAGACUCCUACGGGAGGCAGCAGUGGGGAAUAUUGCGCACUGGGCGCAAGCCUGAUGCAGCGACGCCGCGUGGGGGAUGACGGCCUUCGGGUUGUAAACUCCUUUCGCUAGGGACGAGGCGUUUUUGUGACGGUACCUGGAGAAGAAGCACCGGCUAACUACGUG